GUGAGGAAUAUUGCGCAAUGGGCGAAAGCCUGACGCAGCGACGCCGCGUGGAGGAUGAAGGUCUUCGGAUCGUAAACUCCUGUCGAGCGGGACGAAGUCCGGGGGGGUGAACAAUCCCUCCGGUUGACGGUACCGCUGGAGGAAGCCCCGGCUAACUCCGUGCCAGCAGCCGCGGUAAUACGGAGGGGGCCAGCGUUGUUCGGAAUCAUUGGGCGUAAAGGGCGCGUAGGCGGCCACGCAAGUCGAAUGUGAAAUCCCUCGGCUCAACCGAGGAACUGCAUCCGAAACUGCGAGGCUCGAGUCCUGGAGAGGGUAGUGGAAUUCCCAGUGUAGCGGUGAAAUGCGUAGAUACUGGGAGGAACACCGGUGGCGAAGGCGGCUACCUGGACAGGUACUGACGCUGAGGCGCGAAAGCCAGGGGAGCAAACAGGAUUAGAUACCCCAGUAGUCC
rnacentral:rRNA from 1 species